GUAUUUGGAAACUAUAUUUCACAAUUUUUUGAUCAAUGAUGGAGCCUUCGAAUCGACGAUCGGCACCGUUGAAUUAUGAUCUAUACCACUUAAAUUAUCUAGAAAUCAAAUUUCAUGCUUUUCCGAUAUUAUUCUCUUGUCCAUCAAGUAGGCGUAAAAAUGAAUGGCUGAAAAUGAAUAUCUUCUAAAAAGUGAUGAUAGAAAUUUUAUAAUCAAGAUCGAGAGUAUAGAUCUUGUUCUAAAUAGUUUAAAGAAUUUUCUAACCAAAAUUCAAUUGAUUUGGAUAGUUUUACACCGUUAAACGUGAAAACACCUCAUAUCUACCAUUAAAAUUAUAAAUUUUGAAACCCUUUGAUCAUUAGGUUAAUAAUAUCGAAAAGAUUUAAAAUUUGGUUUCUAAAUACUUCAAGUGGUAUAGAUUAUAUUCAACGGUGUCAAUCGUCAAUUCGAAGGCUCCAUCAUUGAAAACAAAUGGGUGACAACGGAGCCGGUUUGCUACCAAUAGUAUUUCAGCACAACUCUAUAUAUCUAUACUAUAUAAAAGCACGUAUUUCAAAUUUCGGUCUGUCGACAGACCCAUUUUUUGGCGAGAAAAAAAUUUGAUUCCUCUUUCCUUACGUAAAAUAAAUAAUAGAAUUAAAAAAAACUUUUAUUUCCUCUUUAUUUCUACAACAGAAAAAAAUUUAUACUUAACCAAAUUUUUACCAAUCUGAGAAUAUCUACUGUGAAUUUUUAUUUAAUUCAUUUUUAUCUCUAACUAUAAUGUAAUAUCUAUACUAUCUAGCACGUAUUUCAAAUUUCGAUAUGUCAGCAUACCCUUUUUAGGUGGAAAAAAAAAUUGAUUCCUCUUUCCUUACGUAAAAUAAAUAACAUAAUAAAACAAACUUUUAAUUUAUCUUUACCUCUAAAAUAAAAAAUAUAUAUACUUAUUCAAAUUUU
rnacentral:lncRNA from 1 species